ACGGGAGGCAGCAGUGAGGAAUAUUGGUCAAUGGACGCGAGUCUGAACCAGCCAAGUAGCGUGAAGGAUGACUGCCCUAUGGGUUGUAAACUUCUUUUAUAUGGGAAUAAAGUGGUCCACGUGUGGAUUUUUGUAUGUACCAUAUGAAUAAGGAUCGGCUAACUCCGUGCCAGCAGCCGCGGUAAUACGGAGGAUCCGAGCGUUAUCCGGAUUUAUUGGGUUUAAAGGGAGCGUAGGCGGAUUGUUAAGUCAGUUGUGAAAGUUUGCGGCUCAACCGUAAAAUUGCAGUUGAUACUGGCAGUCUUGAGUGCAGUAGAGGUGGGCGGAAUUCGUGGUGUAGCGGUGAAAUGCUUAGAUAUCACGAAGAACUCCGAUUGCGAAGGCAGCUCACUGGAGUGUAACUGACGCUGAUGCUCGAAAGUGUGGGUAUCAAACAGGAUUAGAUACCCUGGUA
rnacentral:rRNA from 1 species